GCCGAGAUAGCUCAGUUGGGAGAGCGUCAGACUGAAGAUCUGAAGGUCCCUGGUUCAAAACCAUACGAAGUUAUGAACUGUCCCGGGUCUCGGCA
rnacentral:tRNA from 1 species